GGAAACGUGGCCGAGUGGUUGAAGGCGCACGCCUGGAAAGUGUGUAUACUGGAAACAGUAUCGAGGGUUCGAAUCCCUCCGUUUCCG
rnacentral:tRNA from 1 species